CCUACGGGUGGCUGCAGUGGGGAAUAUUGCGCAAUGGGCGAAAGCCUGACGCAGCGACGCCGCGUGAGGGAUGAAGGUCUUCGGAUCGUUAACCUCUGUCAGCAGGGAAGAACGGUCACUGUGCUAAUCAGCAGUGAAUUGACGGUACCUGCAAAGGAAGCACCGGCUAACUCCGUGCCAGCAGCCGCGGGAAUACGGAGGGUGGGAGCGUUAUUCGGAAUUACUGGGCGGAAAGCGCUCGUAGGCGGUAUGUCAAGUCAAGGGUGAAAUCCCCGGGCUCAAAGGUGGAACUGCCUUUGAAACUGGGAGCCUGGAGUGUGUGAGAGGUAGGUGGAAGUCGGGGUGUAGGGGUGAAAUGCGGAGAUAUCAGGAAGAACGCAGAUGGCGAAGGCAGCGAACGGGAGCUGAACUGACGCUGAGGAGCGAAAGCGUGGGUAGCGAACAGGAUUAGAGACCCGGGUAGUC
rnacentral:rRNA from 1 species